rnacentral:rRNA from 1 species
AUUGAACGCUGGCGGCAGGCCUAACACAUGCAAGUCGAACGAGUGGCGGACGGGUGAGUAAUGACUGGGAAACUGCCUGAUGGAGGGGGAUAAAUACUGGAAACGGUAGCUAAUACCGCAUACCAUCGGAUGUGCCCAUAUGGGAUUAGCUAGUAGGUGGGGUAACGGCUCACCUAGGCGACGAGCCCUAUCUGUUCUGAGAGGAUGACCAGCCACACUGGAACUGAGACAGGGUCCAGGCGCCUACGAUACGCCGCAGUGGGGAAUAUUGCACAAUGGGGGCGAGCCUGAUGCAGCCAUGCCGAGUGUGUGAAGGAGGCCUUCGGGUUGUAAAGCCCUUUCAGCGGGGAGGCGUUACCCGCAGAAGAAGCACCGGCUAACUCCGUGCCAGCAGCCGCGGUAAUUC